CCUACGGGGUGCUGCAGUGAGGAAUAUUGGUCAAUGGGCGCAAGCCUGAACCAGCCAAGUCGCGUGAGGGAUGACGGUCCUAUGGAUUGUAAACCUCUUUUGUCGGGGAGCAAGGCCCGCCACGUGUGGCGGGAAGGAGAGUACCCGAAGAAAAAGCAUCGGCUAACUCCGUGCCAGCAGCCGCGGUAAUACGGAGGAUGCGAGGGUUAUCCGGUUUUAUUGGGUUUAAAGGGGGCGUAGGGGGAAGGUUAAGUCAGCGUGAAAAUGUCGGGGCUCAACACCGGCCUGCCGUUGAAACUGGUCGUCUUGAGUGAGCGAGAGGUAGGCGGAAUGCGUGGUGUAGCGGUGAAAUGCAUAGAUAUCACGCAGAACUCCGAUUGCGAAGGCAGCAUACCGGCGCUCAACUGACGCUGAGGCACGAAAGCGUGGGGAUCGAACAGGAUUAGAUACCCGGGUAGUC
rnacentral:rRNA from 1 species